rnacentral:rRNA from 1 species
UGAGAGGGAGCAUGAGAAACGGCUACCACAUCUAAGGAAGGCAGCAGGCGCGUAAAUUACCCAAUCCUGACUCAGGGAGGUAGUGACAAGAAAUAGCAAACCGGGAACCUCAUGGUUUCACGGUAUUGCAAUGAGAACAAUUUAAAACCCUUAGCGAGAAUCAAGUGGAGGACAAGUCUGGUGCCAGCACCCGCGGUAAUUCCAGCUCCACUAGCGUAUAUUAAAGUUGUUGCAGUUAAAAAGCUCGUAGUUGAACCUCUGUCUGGGGCUAGUUUUGGCUUUGGUCAGGCUAGUUCUAGGCAUCCGCCCACAAGACUUAGAGGGCAUUCAGUUGUUCACUAGGAGGAGUAGGCAUUUUACUUUGAAAAAAUUAGAGUGUUUAAGGCAGGCAAUCGCCCGCAUAUAUUAGCAUGGAAUAAUAGAAUAGGACACUUUUCCAUUUCGUUGGUUAUUGGAAUCGUGUAAUGAUUAAUAGGGACAGUUGUGGGCAUUUGUAUUUAAUUGUCAGAGGUGAAAUUCUUGGAUUUAUUAAAGACAAACUAACGCGAAAGCAUUUGCCAAGGAUGUUUUCAUUAAUCAAGGACGAAAGUUAGGGGAUCAAAGACGAUCAGAUACCGUCCUAGUCUUAACUAUAAACUAUUCCGACUCAAUGUUUGACUGGCUUAUAUAACCAGUUGAGCGUUGUAUGAGAAAUCAAAGUCUUUAGGUUCUGGGGGGAGUAUGGUUGCAAAGCUGAAACUUAAAGGAAUUGACGGAAGAGCACAACCAGGAGUGGAUUCUGCGGCUUAAUUUGACUCAACACGGGGAAACUUACCAGGUUAAAACAAUAGUGGGAUUGACAGUUUGAGAGCGCUUUCUUGAUUGGUUGGGUGGUGGUGCAUGGCCGUUCUUAGUCGGUGGAGUGAUUUGUCUGCUUAAUUGCGUUAACGAACGAGACCUUAACCUGCUUACUAGACUGGCGAUCAUCAAUCGUUAGCUCUUCUUAGAGGGACUUUGGUUGUUUUAACUCCAAGGAAGUUUGAGGCAAUAACAGGUCUGUGAUGCCCUUAGAUAUCCUGGGCCGCACGCGUCAUACAGUGACUAGUUCAGAAAGUUUUCUCCUGACCCGAAAGGGGAUGGGUAAUCUUGAUAAUACUAGUCGUGUUAGGGAUCGAUCUUUGCAAUUAUAGGUCUUGAACGAGGAAUUCCUAGUAAGUGCGGUUCAUCAGACCGUACUGAUUACGUCCCUGCUCUUUGUACACACCGCCCUCGCUUCUACCGAGUGGGUGGUCCGGUGAGAUAAUUGAACUUCGCAGGUAACUGAGAGGAAAGAUUAUCAAACCUAUCCACCUCGAGGAAGAAGAAGUCGUAACAAGGUU